AUGGACUCAGGGGGCGGAGGAGGGGGGUCGCACAAGGCCGCGUCGGGCUCCGCGCCGUCGGCGGCGGCGGCGGCGCCGAACCCCACGGCGAUGCUCUCGGCCCUGAUGGGCAAGCGCGCCAAGCUCCAGGAGGAGGUCCGCUCCAUCGAGCGGCAGGUUUAUGAUAUGGAGACCACCUACCUACAAGAAUCUAAUCAAUUCGGAAGCGUGCUGAAGGGUUUUGAAUCAUUCUUGUCAUCGUCAAAAAACACUGCUAACCUCAAGCGGUCAAGGAAGUUUCAGGUUGAUGAGAGACUAUUCUCUCUGUCAUCGGUUACUUCUCCAGCGGUUGAAGAACAACUGGCUGCGCGAGAUGAGGCAAGAGAAUAUGCAGGUCGUUCAAAGGGCGCAAGCACUCCAGCUAAUGGCCAAGGGAAACCAAAGAAGGGAGGGCGUCCUGGAGGGAGAGACGGCAAGAGAAUACGCCCAUCGAACGAUCCAGACUUGGACGAUGAAGAUGACUACUAA
rnacentral:rRNA from 1 species